rnacentral:rRNA from 1 species
CAUUACAGGAAGCCGAAAGGCAACUUCAAACCAUUGCGAACGUAUCCUAGUUGCUUCGGCGGCGCGGGACCCCUCGGGGGACCGCAGCCCACGCCCUCCGGGGCGAGGGGCGCCCGCCGGAGGUCACAAACUCUCGUGUAUUACAGUGGCGUCUCUGAGUAAAAAAAGAAUAAGUCAAAACUUUCAACAACGGAUCUCUUGGUUCUGGCAUCGAUGAAGAACGCAGCGAAAUGCGAUAAGUAAUGUGAAUUGCAGAAUUCAGUGAAUCAUCGAAUCUUUGAACGCACAUUGCGCCCGCUAGUACUCUAGCGGGCAUGCCUGUUCGAGCGUCAUUUCAACCCUCAAGCCCGGCUUGGUGUUGGGGCCCUACGGCUGCCGUAGGCCCUGAAAGGAAGUGGCGGGCUCGCUACAACUCCGAGCGUAGUAAUUCGUUUUCUCGCUAUGGACAUUGCGGCGGUGCUCCUGCCGUUAAAGACCCAUCUUUAACCAAAGGUUG